GACGAACGCUGGCGGCGUGCUUAACACAUGCAAGUCGAACGAUGAAGCCGGAGCUUGCUCUGGUGAAUUAGUGGCGAACGGGUGAGUAACACGUGAGUAACCUGCCCUUGACUCUGGGAUAACUGCUAGAAAUGGUAGCUAAUACCGGAUACGACCCUCGGCGGCAUCGCCAGGGGGUGGAAAGAAUUUCGGUCAAGGAUGGACUCGCGGCCUAUCAGCUAGUUGGUGAGGUAACGGCUCACCAAGGCGACGACGGGUAGCCGGCCUGAGAGGGUGACCGGCCACACGGGGACUGAGACACGGCCCAGACUCCUACGGGAGGCAGCAGUGGGGGAUAUUGCACAAUGGGCGCAAGCCUGAUGCAGCAACGCCGCGUGAGGGAUGACGGCCUUCGGGUUGUAAACCUCUUUUAGUAGGGAAGAAGCGAAAGUGACGGUACCUGCAGAAAAAGCACCGGCUAACUACGUGCCAGCCGCCGCAGUAA
rnacentral:rRNA from 1 species